GGGAGGAUUGCUUGAGCCCGGGAGAUGGAGGUUGCAGUGAGCUGAGAUCCGGCCACUGCACUCCAGCCUGGGCAAGAGAGUGAGACCU
ensembl:miRNA